GACGAACGCUGGCGGCGUGCUUAACACAUGCAAGUCGAACGGAAAGGCCCUGCUUUUGUGGGGUGCUCGAGUGGCGAACGGGAGAGUAACACGUGUGUAACCUGCCCUUGACUUUGGGAUAACUUCAGGAAACUGGGGCUAAUACCGGAUAGGAGCUCCUGCUGCAUGGUGGGGGUUGGAAAGUUUCGGCGGUUGGGGAUGGACUCGCGGCUUAUCAGCUUGUUGGUGGGGUAGUGGCUUACCAAGGCUUUGACGGGUAGCCGGCCUGCGAGGGUGACCGGCCACAUUGGGACUGGGAUACGGCCCAGACUCCUACGGGAGGGAGCAGUGGGGAAUAUUGCACAAUGGGCGGAAGCCUGAUGCAGCAACGCCGCGUGCGGGAUGACGGCCUUCGGGUUGUAAACCGCUUGCGCCUGUGACGAAGCGUGUGUGACGGUAAUGGGUAGAGAAGCACCGGCUAACUACGUG
rnacentral:rRNA from 1 species